UAUUAGAGGAGUACGGUACCUCUUUUCCUUAAAGUUCUGCAAUCUCUCUUUGGUUCUCAGCCCUUCCCAGAGUCCCCCUAGGGCUAAGUGCUCGGCCAGGUGGGCUGCUUCCGCUCGCUCGCCUCGGGCCUGGGGAAGGGUCCCUCCGAAGGAUGCUCCCUAGGGGUUAGAACCCGCUUUCCUGCAGCGGGGCGGAGACCUGUCCUACACAAUCCUCACUCUGCUCCGGGAGACCCAGCAGCAGAUUAAUUGCAGCUGUGCCCUGGAAUUUCCCCAACACACAAAUCUUCCUGAUGUAAAACAGCUGGGAGGAAAUCCCAGCAUGCCCUGGGCAGAGGCAGAGCUGCCAAUGAGCUAUAGAGAUUAACCCUCAGACUCCCGGAGAGCAGUGAGGGCCCCUGCUCCAGAGAGGCCCACAUUGUCUCACCCCACUCCGUGUGCACGGGACCCCCUGGCGUGCCCACAGACUCUGAAUGCUCGACAAGGAAACCCUUUCUGCAGGACCUGAGCACCAGAGAAAAAUCACGGCUUCUUGUCACAGAAUGCACCAGGACAAGGCUCCCAAAUGAGCUUACUCAAGUGUGGGGCUCGGAAAACCACUCCUUCCCCCAAAGUCCAGCUCCCGGAAGCCCUCCACUUCUUCCAUGGACACUGGCAAAGGACAGAGUCCUUUGCACCUUUUCAGGCUAGGAAAGCAACCCUCCCCCUCUGGUCCCCACUGGUGAACAGUGACUCGCCUGACCUCAAGCUAGGACUCCUUUGAAUAAAGUCCAAGGAUUCCUACGCCUUACUCAAAAGAUGCUACAACUGCUGUCACCAAGAGACAAGACCAAGGUGCACACACAUCCAUGAACAAGGAAAGGUGGCACCAUAGUCGUGGAGAAGGCCUGGCUGCAGGAGGGACAACCCUACCAGUGACUCCACUGUGACUGUCACAGUGACUGCUCAUGCACCAUCAGAUGUAGUACAACACCAAAAACAGGCUCCCUUGCACCGUGCCCAGCACUGCCCAAGUGUGUCUUCACAUCUGCAAGCUCUCUCAGUCCAUGUGACACAGUACAAAUGUUAUCAUCUUCUUCAAAGAUAUAGAAACAGUUUUCUCAUUUGCACUGUAGCCUGCCAGAAGCCGUUUAGUCAACUUACACCCUUCCCCCAAAUGGAAGUGGGGAUGGUGUGACGCCUGGCAUAGAAACUCGACUCCAGCCCUUCACCCCCAGAAGAGAAGCUCGAAGCUCCUAGGGCCUGCAGCCCUAUGCCAGUGGUGGACCAUAGCCAGCCUGCCUGCGAGCCAUGGGAACCUGAACCUGAACCAGGGACUACACUGGUGUCUCUAGAUCAAGUUUCGGGUGUGCUGGGACUUUGGGAAAGCAUGCGUCUCUGCUCCCAGUUGUCCUGGAACACUAAGUCCGUCUUUUGUGGAGCAAUGGCCUGCUUUUGCCACAACACUGUCCCAGCUGAAGUCUCCUUCUGCAGCUUCUGACUCGGGUUCUUUUUCCUUUUCGCCAUACUCCUGGAAGCCAAGGAAGGGGUCCAGUCCCCAGCGCGCGCUGACUAUUCAGUCAGCCCCGAUCGGCAGUUCUCAUUCUUUCUUCUAGCAGGAGUGAAGGCUGAGAUGCCCGCCAGGCAACUUUGCCUUUUUUCUUCUCUCAUUCCCCUGGGAUCUGCUGCUCGGGGCUCGUGGUUUCCUGGUAGCUUCUUCACUUUCCUCACCGGAUGCCCCCAAAGCAUCUCAAUCACGCCUGACCAUUUCCUCAGGACUCAGAUUCUUCUACUGCCUUUCCUACUUCCGGCAAUGGCUCCUCCUUCCUUCCUGUUGCCAGGCAACAUUCCUGACUCUUCCUUCUCAGGCCCUCUGUGCUUAUCUGCCCGCAAGUCCUGUAGCCCUCUCCCUUCUAAACAAACCUCUAAUCUGACUUUUACCUAGCUUCUAUUCUACACAUCCGCAUUUCUAUCGCACUGUCCACGACUACCUGGGGUUUCCACCUCGGUUCCUUUCUGCCUGUUUCCCCGCUGUCGAGAGCUCCAGUGAGGGUCAGUGCACAUCACUUCUUUACACAAGAGCCCCCACACCACCCUGUCCAUCUCACCACGAGGAAGCCAGAGUCUAGCGUGCUCUGUAAGAGAGAGUCCCUUGAGUGGCCUCCUGUCCAUCUUUUCUGAUUGCACCUUCUUUAGCGCCACCACCAAGCCCACACACUCUGCUCCUUGCUACUCAAUCUGCCUGUCAUUAGCCCACCUCAGGGUGUUUGUGCUUUGCCUGGAGUGCCUUUCUGCUAUGAGUCUAUAUAGCUUGUUCCUUUUCAUCUUUAUGAAAAAUCACUUUCAACAACACCUUUGAGAACUAUGCAUUGAGUGAAUGAACAAAUUAAACUUUCCCCUGAACUUUCAUUGGUGACUGGAACUUCACAAUGUGCUUGGUUGCUGUUGAGUUGGGUUCUUUUUGGUUUUGUGUUGUUUUUAAGAAGUGUGUGUGUGUGUGUGUGUGUGUGUGUGUGUGUGUGUGCGCGCGCGCGCGUGUGCGCACAUCUGCCACCUCUAGGGAUCGAGAUUCACACUGUGGUCUGUAAUCGGCAGCAAUGUCUCUCAAAACUCAUUUAACAAGGGUACAGAAACACAUGUAACAGGAAAUAUGCAUCUGGCUCCUUAGGACACUCCGUGCGUAUGAAAAGCGAUACACUAUAUAUCUAGUGACUCAUCAAGUGUGGCAUCAGCACCUCAGUCUUUAUCCAGAACCAGCACCCGGCCUUUCAGAUGGCCACUCCCAUGCCUUGGGCUCACCUCUGGCCAAGUAGCUUCUCUCACACUCCAGCUCUCCCCUCCUGGACCUCUUCUCUCCUUUUCCAGGUUCUCUGAUGGUAUUCAGACCCAGAUUAUUUCAAAACACUCGGUCCUCUGUGAAUAACGUGUAAACAUUGCUUUCCCACG